AUUGAACGCUGGCGGCAGGCUUAACACAUGCAAGUCGAGCGGGGUGAUGGUGCUUGCACUAUCACUUAGCGGCGGACGGGUGAGUAAUGCUUAGGAAUCUGCCUAUUAGUGGGGGACAACAUCUCGAAAGGGAUGCUAAUACCGCAUACGUCCUACGGGAGAAAGCAGGGGAUCACCUGUGACCUUGCGCUAAUAGAUGAGCCUAAGUCGGAGUAGCUAGUUGGUGGGGUAAAGGCCUACCAAGGCGACGAUCUGUAGCGGGUCUGAGAGGAUGAUCCGCCACACUGGGACUGAGACACGGCCCAGACUCCUACGGGAGGCAGCAGUGGGGAAUAUUGGACAAUGGGGGGAACCCUGAUCCAGCCAUGCCGCGUGUGUGAAGAAGGCCUUAUGGUUGUAAAGCACUUUAAGCGAGGAGGAGGCUCUUUUGGUUAAUACCCAAGAUGAGUGGACGUUACUCGCAGAAUAAGCACCGGCUAACUCUGUGCCAGCAGCCGCCGUAA
rnacentral:rRNA from 1 species